rnacentral:rRNA from 1 species
UACGUAGGGGGCAAGCGUUGUCCGGAUUUAUUGGGCGUAAAGAGCUCGUAGGCGGUGUGUCGCGUCGAUCGUGAAAACUUGGGGCUUAACCCUGAGCUUGCGGUCGAUACGGGCAUCACUUGAGUUCGGCAGGGGAGACUGGAAUUCCUGGUGUAGCGGUGAAAUGCGCAGAUAUCAGGAGGAACACCGGUGGCGAAGGCGGGUCUCUGGGCCGAUACUGACGCUGAGGAGCGAAAGCGUGGGGAGCGAACAGG